rnacentral:rRNA from 1 species
UGGGGAAUCUUGCGCAAUGGGCGAAAGCCUGACGCAGCGACGCCGCGUGAGUGAUGAAGGCCUUCGGGUUGUAAAGCUCUGUGGGGAGAGAAGAAUAAGUGCGGGCUAAUACCCCGCAUGAUGACGGUAUCUCCUUAGCAAGCACCGGCUAACUCUGUGCCAGCAGCCGCGGUAAGACAGAGGGUGCAAACGUUGUUCGGAAUUACUGGGCGUAAAGCGAGUGUAGGCGGUUUGGUAAGUCGGAUGUGAAAGCCCCGGGCUCAACCCGGGAAGUGCAUUCGAUACUGCCAAGCUAGAGUAUCGGAGAGGUUGGUGGAAUUCUCGGUGUAGAGGUGAAAUUCGUAGAUAUCGAGAGGAACACCGGUGCGAAGGCGGCCAACUGGACGAAUACUGACGCUGAGACUCGAAAGCGUGGGGAGCAAACAGGAUUAGAUACCCCCGUAGUCCCUGAGCGGGCUGGCAAGGCGCAU